CUGAGGAAAUUCUACUACAAGUUGUGACCCCGACUGUAAGGCAGGUCUCUCUGCAGCUCCUGCAGAAUUAAGAGUGAGACUUAAUUCAUACUCGGUGCAUAACUCUUCAGUUUUGGAGAUUAAACGCUCUUAAGCUUGAAGGUUUGGAGUGUGUUCAUCAGCCACUUGGGAUUUAAAUCAAAAGUAAUUCCUUGUCUAAGGUUGACCAUAAUAAGAAAACAAUGAGUUGGGAAGCAUACGUGAAAGGUCAACUGAUGACCCCCGGGGACAUGGCUAGCGCAGGGAUCUACGGUCUAGACGGUGGGGAGUGGUCGAGGGAGGGGCCUAUCAAACCUCUACCAACGGAAAUCACCCGCCUUAUAGCCAUAAUUCAGGGCAAGGAAACCGACUUUAAUAGCAUCCGUUUAGGCGGAAUGAGCUUCCUGUAUAUCACUCACGAUCCUCAGGAAGGUUGCAUCACACUAAAUCGUAUCAACGCCCCUAGUGAUGAAGAGAAAUACGUUUGUUGCGGAUAUUUGUCCAAAGGUUGUUUCAUUUUCGGGGCUGUUGUCGGUAAUUGGCGGAUGGGUAACUGCAGCAAAGUGUCAUGUCGGCUGAGAGAUUACCUCAAACAAGUAGGAUACUAACGACUGUGAACAUCUAGUGACUUAAUGACCUACAUACAAUUUUGUAACAAAUGUUUUAUAUUGAACUGUGUGUUUUGCAACAAAUCAUGUAGUUGUAGAAUAUAAUGUCAAAUGGAAGCGAUAACCGUUUGCUUUAGUUGAAUAUGUGAGGCUUUUGACGUAAUAGGUUGGUUGAGGUAAUGCUGCUGAGGUAAUGCUAUGUGAUGUGUUGCUAUGCAGAUAAUACUUUUGUUGCCGUGCCAACAAUGCAUAGUUUUAUUGAUGCUGGAGGAAAAUAUUUCUUCCAGAUAAUGAUAGUACAUAUUUUGCAAUUUAGCUGAAAGCUUUAUAUCUUUCCAUUAGGCCAAAAAAGUUUCGAAUAUGGUGAUAGUGUCCUGUUUUGUUGACCACGGAUGUCUGCGAAAUUAUUUUUUUUAACUAUUUCAUUCUUAAUUUCUUAUUCGAGUGAUUGCUUUCAAAGUGAAAGUUUUAUGAUUUAGCUAUGAAUACAUUGAUAUGUUAAGAUUAUGUUUGCUGGUUGAAACUUUAAACAAAUAAUAAUUUAUAAAAAUGCCGAUCUUAAGUAUGUGCCUAGGGUUUUGUUAGGAAAUAUUAGCUUGUGAGCAUGUGUCUUAUCUGCAAAAUGUUGCUGAAUAAAUUUAUGUUAUUGGAUAUUGGUAAAUCGCGAACUUCAUACGACACCAGCCAGAUUGUGAACAAUUAAAUGAAAACAAUUAGAUAAUUAUUUUAGUAUUAUUAUUAUUUUUUAUUAUUGAAGAAUUCAUAAACUAUGUUUGAUAGUUGUUUUUGGUAUAGAGUCACGUUUGUACUUGUAUACUUGUUUUACCCAGAAAUAUUAAGAUUCAAGAAAUUUUACGAAAUAUAUUCCAUUUAAGUGUAUAAUGAGAAGUAAAACGUACACUUAGCAGCAUAGAUGAUGCAUUGUUUUCUUGAUGGUUGCUUCAAUUAUUGCUUGCUUUGAAGUGUGUUUUGUUUGUGCUGAAACAAUUGUGUGCAAUAAUUUGUGAUUUGUAUACAUUUAUAUUGAGUAUGUUACGUCUGUGGUACAAUGAACAAGUGUCGAAAUGGUUUAAUAUUAGUUAUUUUCAUGCAUAAUCCAAAUACUUACUUAUUUCGUUGUCAUGUACAUUCUUAUUUUGUUACAUUGCCUUGCUUACUUAAGGGUAAAACACCGAAAGCAUUUAAACAAGAAAACAUUGCUAUUUGUACAUAAACUGUUUAAUAUUAGUUAAUGAGAUUUUUGUCACACAUAUUUGUUUGUCCACAAAUAUGAAUACAUAUAUUUUAGGCUUAAUUAUUUUUGUUUAGUAAACAUAGUUAUGUUUCUGUUAUAGAGUUGUUUGUAAAUUUAGAGAAUUUUUUAACAUACACACGGUAUAUAAAUACAUCGGUUCUGCAGUAUGUCAUUUAUUAACAUUCGAAAGAAAGAUGUUUUCUUUUGUAGAAUGUUUGUUUAAUAAACCUUAAUUAUUGAUCAAUCUGUGAUACAUACUAUAUGAAAAUUAGUAGAAUAACGAAAUACAAAAUUACAUAUAAUGUACAUUUAUAUAUAUAAUAAGUAACUAAAUAACAGGCGAUUUCAGUUAAGUAUAUUUGCAACAAUAAUGGUUUGUAUUAAUGUACCAAUGGUAAUUGAUUUGUUUUCCUUCUACCACCUUAAACAAAUUCACAAGUACAAGUUCCGUGUAUGCUCUGUAAAAUGUAAUCUCGACAUCAGCGAGCUACCAUUUGGCAUGCAAUCUCCAGAUUUAUGCUGAUAAACGAGGAAAACAUGUCAAUCUGAUGUAAAUAAACAAGAUAUUGUAGCAGGCUUUCUGGGCGUGUUAUAUCUUUGCAUGCAGGUGAUAUAUGGCUGCAAAACUGGCGGACCUAAUAUUAUGGUUGUGUGUUAUACAAACCUCUGCAAAAAUAUGAAAUACGGGUGUCCUUGACAAGGAUUUACAGACACCUUCGCAUGACCUUUGAACCGAAUUCCAGGAUACGUUAAGUUUACAUCAAGAAAUUCAAAGCAUUUUAUCGCAACUGAAAAAGUGACAUCUAACCCUGCUGACAACCCUCGUGGUGGCAAAAGGGGUAUAGCAUACAUACAAAAGAUAUGGAGGUCAUCGCCGACGGCGUCAACGGACUUAAAAUCUUGACACAACAACACUAUCGAGACAUAAUUUAAAUUUAUAAAUGUAUGAGCACUGCUUUAGCAGCAAAUACCUGUAUUGUAAACUAUUCCAGCACUGCUGUUGUAAUUUUAUAAUAAUGAAGACAUGGCAUUAUGUUAAUCUUUAUACAAUGUGUUUUGGUUUAAGCAAAGAAUCAAAAAGUUACCUUUGUCGUGAGAAAAAUGUUCGUGAAAAAAGUUUCUCUUUAUAUAAGUCACACUCCCCGCGGCAAGAAUUUCUUGUAUCUCCUGAAUAUACAAAUAUUGCAUGUCAAAGAAUCAUAGAGUUAUAUAAAAAGAUAUUUCAAAAUAUGUCUUAUGUUUUUAAUAUUUACUAUUGUUUAAUCACAUAACCUUUUAUAGUUUUUACAUGACAUAGCGUACAUUUGAUUGAAUAAUUUUGUUUACAAACAUGUAACCGUUGCUUGCUCAAUUUGCUUUGUUGUUGUCAACUGUUCUUUUGUUUUGACUGCAAAGCUGUGUUACCCAUACUGUCUACUUAUAGACUUAGACGUAAUUCAUGAUAAUGGUUUCAAUGCUGAUAUGACAAAUCUGUUUUAGCGUACACGUUGUCGUAGAGAUUGUCGUUCUUUUUUGAUUGGAUAUUUAAAAUAUGUGCGCCUUUAUGCAUUUGUUUGCCUUUAAACUGUAGAUGUGUAUCUGAACAUGAUUAUGUCAAAUGUUCACAUGUUUGUACAAGUGCUCACAUGUCCAGACAGAAAACAUGGUCAAAUCAAUUUCCAUCACGGCAAUCAGUAUAGUUGGAGUUGUUUAUGCGAUAACUUAGAUUGUUGUUUAAUAACUUUACUACGACGUUGAAAUGCUAUUCUAGAAUAUGUUAAUGAAAAUAAGAAAAUAUUAUAUGGUGUGUACAUUCAUAUUGUUAUAUAUUUCCAGAUUUUGAUUGACAUUAAUUACAUGAGAAUAAGAUUUAAAAAAAUGGUCUUGUGAACACUUGAUCGGAUUUGCAUCAUCAACUAUACCCAUUUUACAUCAAAUUUAUUACCGCAACACAAGAAUACUAUGCCAUUUGGUCAUUUUUAUCCAAUAUUUUAAUGCACGAUUAUAUGAAUAUUGUGUACAAAUGGAUGUUUGUAAGCAAAUGAAAUAAUAAAAUCAUGGAAUUAA